rnacentral:tRNA from 1 species
GUAGUGGUGGUUCAGUGGUACAGUUCUCACCUUCCAUGUGGGAGACAUGGGUUCAAUUCCCGGUCAACACA